rnacentral:miRNA from 1 species
UCUUAGAUCUACAAUGCCACC